UGCUCCUGUUUGGAGAGUAUAAGAAGGAGGUGGUCGUUGUUGUUCUUGGGAAUGUUUCUAGGCUUUUGUGACUUCCUAUGACAGGUUAAGCAAUGGUACAGAGGAAAAGAGCGAAAUCGGGCUUUGGGGUAAGUGGAAGCUUUAUCUUCAUGACUUGGGGGAGCAUUUAUUUCCUGUGUAUUCAUUUUUUGGAAAAAAAAAAAAAAAAAGUCCAGAUCAAAUGAUGCAAGAAUUUUGUGGGUUCCGGCAUGAUAGCCAACGCCAUUACACACAGAGACUGAGCAAAAACAAUAAUGGAUCAAAUUCACAGACACGAAAUGUUUCACGUUGGCUGCGCAACUACAUCUUGUUUAGUAUCCACAUUAUGUCAUUGGCAGGAAGGACUCUGUGCAGAUGAGGAUCAACUAAACAGACAAACCAACCGUAAUUGCAAGUUGAUUCUGUUCUGGUUGAAGGGAAAUGCUGAAGGAUUUAUGGUUGUUGUUUUUUUUUUUUUCUUGAAGUGUCAUACAGAAAGUAGUUACUCAGUCUUAGAACCAGAGAUCUUUUUCCUGGUUGAAUUUGUGUCUGAGCAGACCAUCUGCCUGCCAUUUUGAGAAGAAAUUAAAUUUUGAUAGUAAAUAAUAAAGGAUGUGAAGCUUCUGUUCUGAAAAUAAAUAUAACUAAAACAAACAAACAAAAAUAUUGCCAGUGUAUUUUUUUAAAUAUUGAGAUCUUUUUCAAGUCAUCCUGAUGACUUUUGUCUAGGGACAAGACAAUCAUAAUGUAAGAACAGUCAUAAGCCUGAGUAUCAGAUCUGAAAAACAGAAAUUGCUGCUAAAAGAAAUUAUUUUUCUCUAUAAAUAGUACAGUAUUAGCUGGAAUUUGUUGUACAUUUGAGAACUACUUCAGAUGCUCUGCUUGUAUUGAGGGUUGUUUUAUGUGUUGCUUUUUAAAUAAUAAUCAGUUGCAUAAAACUUUAAAUUUCUAGAUGAAUUGAUUUAUUCUGUCUAUAUUAUUAAUGAUGAAUUACAGUUGCAAUAUUUGCUUACAUUAAUUAUACAUCUUCAGUCAAUAAACAGCUUCCAGCAAUUAUUUGAAAGCGGCAAUCAAAUCUGUUGGUAUUUUCACUGGAUUAAUUGGUGUCGUGUGACAUCUGAUUAUUGUUGUUCUGCUCAGAAAUCUCAAUAAUAGCAAUUAUUACAAAGCGAACUUUGUGUAAGCGGUAUUUUAUUAAGAAACUUGAUAACUGUUGGCUUCCUUAUGAUAUUAAAUAUUGUUUUCCGUUAUCAAUACUCUAAUUUAUUAACCAGAAAUUUGCAGUUUUCCCUCAUAUUGUAAUGCAGCCUUAAAUAUGGAAUGACAGUGCUGGAAAGCACUGAGUGUUUUGUAGAAACAUGGACUUGUCUGAAAAUCAAUAACAUUCAUUAUAAAUAAGUUAUAUACUACCGUUCCCAGAUUUUUUCUAUCCUUUGUUAGAUUAUAUACUGUUCUGAUGUCUCCCUGUUUUGUCUCAUGUGCUGGAAAAGUGUUUAAGUGUCCAGGCUAUUUUUAAUAAUCUUAAUGUAGGACUUCUUUUAAGAGUAGCUCUCCUGGUUAGCUCUCCUGCAAUGGAAUGUUACUAGCAAAUGAGCCAUUUCCUAUGCUUUAGGAAGUGUACUAUUUAGGGAUCAAAACUGAACAUUUCACUUUGUCUAGGUUUUACAUCACUAUUUCAGCAUACGAAUAGCCAGGAAAGGUCAUAAGUCUUGCUUUCAUAUAAGAAAUGUUUGUUCCAAUCUUUAGGUACACCUUUACAGGCAGUGGGAAAGCUCUUUAGGGGGUGCACUCCUCUGU